rnacentral:ncRNA from 2 species
CUCUUAUCAUGAGCUGGCUGAGGGAUUGGCCCUUUGAAGCCCAGCAACCGACCGGAAAACCAUUAUGAAAUGGGGCGCCUAUUCGCGCCGGGGAUAAUCCCCUAACAGGCACGGUGCUAAUUCCAACAGAAGGUUUGUCUUUCUGAGAGAUAAGAG